UCUGCUUGAAAAAUAGGAAGGUGCAUAAAUAAAAAGGUCCCAGCCGCCGUUCUCGACAAGCUCCAUGCACAUCUGCCAUGGCUGACUGUGGGAAGAUUUGAUGGCCAUCUGGCUGCCUCGCUCUUCCGUCACCAUUUUCUGUCACUCUCAAGCAUGGGUGCUGUCCUGGGUAUCAAACCUGUGGCUCUCUGUGAGUCCGGCACUGCACUUCCUGCUGCUGCCUUGAUUGGGUACCAAAGAGAGAGGGUCUGGUCUGAUGAGGUACCUGCAGAUGGGACACGGAUCGCACAGAGGAACCCUGAACCUGGCAUGGAGUCGAGACCCAGCAGCAGCCUGGUGAUGGAGAUCAUGUAAUCCUUGACGAAGGACUGUCCAAAGUAAAUAGAGAGGAUGCUGCCACUGUGAGCAAAGGGCAGGCGGAACAUAAACACCAGGUUGGAUCCUCUCUCCCUUUCCUUCUGCAGACUGGUCUCCCAGGAGGUCAAAAGUUGGGUUGCUGACGCCAUCCACCAACUCCAGGACGGGUGCGAUGCUGUGCCGCCUCUCCUCGGCGGAGUCUCCCACAGCAGGCAAGGCCAAAGUAUUAGCACCGCUCAUCUCCGUCCUAGAGCUGCUCCGGCUUCCUCUUCCGCUGCCAGGCCCACCGCUCCCUGGAUCUGGACCUUCUGGACUGCUGUCACUGGAAUCCUGCAGGUCGAUUGCCACUGUGCCUGAAAUAGACCCAAAGCCUCAAUGAUUAUCAGGGUGGAGAUCAAGCUAUUUGUGUGUGAUGUGGUCGGUAUGAAAGAACAGCAGAACCCUGACCUCAACCCCAUUAGACACGGAGGCUGCCUUGUCUAACAUUAGUGGUCUUUUACACGUGUGACCUCACUGACCCAUGCUGGCGAUAAUACUGUGCACUGGAAGGCGGGUGAGUCCAUGGUAAAUGCUUUGGUGAACGCCCCUUGUGUUCCCUCCGGUGCUGCCCCACGACGGUUCCCUCUGGCCCCGGACAAAUGCCGAGUUCUCCUCUUUGGAGAUGUUGAUGUAGAAGCAGAUGUCAGAGGCCCCCAUGAUAUGGCAGGGGCCGGGAUUUAGCAGGAUGUUGGUGGUGUCCAGCCUUCGCACUCCGAUCAAGCACACCCCAUACCUGUUGCCACGAAGACAAGAAUUAGGCGCCAAAUGGCGCACAAUUGGCUGCAUUUUUCUGUUUCACAUAUCACUUACUUCUUGUGAGCGUGAAAGGAGGCAAAGGUGAAACUCUUGCCCUGGUAUUCCCCGAAGAAUUUGCUCUCCUCCAGGCGGAUGUGGUGCACCUCAUUGGCUGAGCAGCGGCGGUAGGUUCGAUGCCAUUGGUCCGCAGCGCAGGCGCCACCUUCCCUGAAAAGCGGACAUACAGUAUAGAAUGGUUGGCCAUGUGGGGGGAAAGUGACCUUUUUAAGCAUCUAAUGCAAAGCUUCCUGCGAAGCGACUGGGGUCACAUCAUCAAGGCCUGGAGAAUUCAUGUCUAACAUCUCUGUCAGAGCUCCUUGAUCAAUACUUCAAUCAGUACACUGACCCAAGCAAGGACGAGCAGUCUGUCGAAACAACAGAGCCCAUGUACACUUAAGUAGACUGCCAUGUUCUCAGGGGUAUACGGCUUUAGAUGCGGAGGCCACUGAGAUGAGAACAGGAAGCAAGGCUGUGGGGGCAGUGUGAAUGUGGGUGGCCUGUGACAAUAAGACUUAUAUAAACAAGUGUUACAUCGACUUUGCAGUUUGUACAAAUGGUUUAAUUUACUUUGUUGCAGCAUGGUCAUGCAUCAUUGUCUCAGCCAAUAAUCCACAAGGAAACGUGGCUUCAGUGUACACUCACUGGCCAUAACGUUAGGUAAGAAUGUGACCUGUGGAAGCUGAGCAGUAUCCUCAAGAUGUUCAGUCCGGAAGUAUUUAGGCAAUCGUUUGUAUUGGUGGCUUCAAUUAUUCAGUAAGUCUUUUUUCUCUUUACAUAAUUUGUCUUGCAGUUACGAGACGAUGGACCACACCUUACAAGUUAACCCCUUGUAUGUUAAAGACUUUUACUCUCUCAGACAAUACGCUGGUGUAAAAUUGUGGUAAUUUCUAAAUGAUAAAUGCCUUUAUGAUUGGAUCUAAAAUGAGAACAUACCUGUUCAGGCCUUGAAAAGCUCCUCCACGUUGCUUAAAAGCCUCCUGGGGUGCAGUCCUAAAAACAGGCCCCCCAAACAUAAUAAAAAUCACUUGCAAAAUUAAGCAUAAUUAUCUAUGUAAAGGCAGUAUUUUUUUAUCCCACUCUGAUAUGUAAGAAUGGUUGCAUGUGAAGACAAGCACAGGGGCAAAGCUCCGAGUGAACUCACUGUCCUCUGGAGGAGUGAAUCAACAGCGUGAUGAGCGUUGAAGUACCAGGGCACACGCAGUUUAAAGCCAGCAUUGCAUACUUAAACUCUUCCUCGCACACCACAUGAUCUGUGGAAAAAGAGGAGGAAAGAAAAAAAAAAAAAGAAUGUCAGUCACAUUCAGGCUGCUGACCUUCGUCUGUGCAUUUGUGUGUGUGCAUCGCAUUCUGUUGAGAUGCGCCUCACUUCAUCAAUUCAGGUCUAACCUACAGCGCUAGGAUGCAUUGAAGCCAUUAAAUUGCAUUGAAAUCCAUUAAAGGCUUGCUGCGAUAUUUCCCUCUGAACUGCAAAUGUCAGAGUCUGCUUGCUCCGCAGGAAAUGUCAGGGGAUCUCCAAAGUAAAAGCUCUUUAUCCUCUGGCAACACAUCAUGGCGGUCCAUACAGUGGCCGUUCAUCUAUUUCAGUCUGGGCCAAACUGAGCCGACACAAAAGUCCGUCAGGCCUUUGCAAAUCAACUUUUCUUGAGGCAUUUAAUUGGCUAAGGUUCUGAGGUUGACGUGACAUUCUCUGAUCCAUAUCCCAGACAAGGUUGAGUAAGGCAACCUUGACUCGCCCUCACCUUAACAGCACUGCUCCAAGGGAGAAGGAGGCUCAGGUGAUCUACUUAAUCCCUCUAGUGCGUUCUGGGUCAGCACCAGGGUCUCCUAUACUUUUAAUCUUUUCAGAGCUCAUUCUGAAACUUCAUUGGCAUGACAUGUAAAAGAAGUCAACACUCUAUCCUCCUUGACCCGACUGCAUUGAAACGGCGUAGACAAACCUGCUGGAAACGUUGAUUUGCACAUUUUGUUUUGAACUCAUCAAUUGUUCCUCCCCAAAUCAAUAAGUAAUUCCCAUCCCUGAGCCUUAGGGGAGCCCAAAUUAUGUUUUUUUUGGUUUUGUUUUGUUGGUCCAAAACGCAGAAAUGUCUCAAACAAGCUUAAGUAGUGAGUAGAAAUAUGUGUUUGGCAUUUCCACAGCGAUUAGCAAAAGUUUCAUUGUGUGCCGAUCAACUGAAAUUAAGUUACAAAAGACGAAAUGUUCCCAAUUAAAAGUUUUUUGGACAUGUCCUCUGUUAAUCUGGUAAACCAAUAAACCAGUAAACCAAUACACACUAUAGGCUACAAUAGUUUAAGGACAGAAUUGGACUCUGUACCCCUAUUUCUGACAGUGUACAGUACCGCUCCUCUGGCACCACUCUGGACAAUUUAGGGGUACAAUGUGUUGCCAUUCUGGUGGUACCAUUAGAGGUAGUGCUUCUGUGCCAUUGCCAUUCAACUUUUACAUCCUAGGAACACACCUCUGUACACUAUUGCGCACACAAAAGGUACCAACAUUUACCUUGAAGUCCAAUAAUUCACCUGAUCGAGUACUUUCGUGUAGAUUUUACUUUGAGGGACAGAUGUCGACUCCUUGUAGCCAUAUUUCUGACAAAUUACCCUAAUUAGUGGUGUGUGAAGUACAGUAUGCUGUAUGACAAAAGUCAGUACGCCCCUCAAUUACAACAACCAUUUAUCUUCUUGAGGGACCACACUAUAGUAAUGAAUGAAACUCAAAUGUUUCAGGCUACUGUUGACGUCCCUUUUUUUAAUGACCAUGACGUGACGAUGACGAGCUAAACAUGACUCUUUGAUGAUUAAAACAUGACAUGUGCGAGUUUUCGUUGACGAGACUGUACGAAAAUGUUAGGGGGUGGUUUGUCAGGCAUUCAAAAUGCAUGACAUCUCUGCCUAUUGUGUGUGUAAUGUCUAUCAAAAGCAUUUAGGGGUACAAUGUCUUGCCACUCUGGUGGGGGAACUGUAGCAGUUUCUGUGCCCCUUGUGUCUAAAUCAUUGGUUCUCAUUUAUUUUCUGUCAUGCCCCCACUGAAGGACAGAAAUGUUUUUGCGCUCCCCCUCCGAUUUGAAACUGAUAAAAAGUAUUUAUAUAUCUGUACUGUACAGAUCGAACGGGCCGCAUGGUGGCCUAGUGGUUAGCAUGUCAGGAGAUCGGGAAGAUCUGGGUUCGACUCUCCGUUGGUCAUCUCUGUGUGGAGUUUGCAUGUUCUCCCCGUGCGUGCGUUUUCUCCAGGUACUCCGGUUUCCUCCCACAUUCCAAAAACAUGCAUGUUAGGUUAAUUGGUGACUCUAAAUUGUCCAUAGGUAUGAAUGUGAGUGUGAAUGCUUGUUUGUCUAUAUGUGCCCUGCGAUUGGCUGGCGACCAGUUCAGGGCGUUCUCGCCCGAAGUCAGCUGGGAUAGGCUCCAGCAUACCCGCGACCCUAGUUAGGAUAAGCGGCAUAGAAGAUGGAUGGUACAGAUCAAACGCAAAACCCAGCAAAAGGCCAAAAAUGGAGAGCAGUAAAGCAUACAAGCGUGUUUAUGAGUCAAAUUGCAUGCGACAAAUUCAGACAUGUUGGUAGGUCUGCACUAAUAUCGAAAGUCCUCCCUGCCUCUCUGGGUGAUUUUUUUAGGCGAAAUAGAUGAAUCAUUGUCUAGAACACACAGUACAGGGUACAGUACAGCACAGUACAGUACAGCACAGUACAGGGUGGCUAAUGGACACCAAUGGAUGUUACUUUUAGAGCAGUUUUAAGCCAUAAAAACAGCCACUAGUAGGUGGCACAAGUGAAUUUGAUAAGAGAUCGGCAUGUGAAUUUGAAUGGAAAAAAACAUAUACUGUAUGACAGCAAGGAGGAAGUGGAAAAACGUGGAGGAGUGUAGCAUGCAGAAGGUUAUGCAUUGUAGGGAAAUGUUAAUGCAGGCACACGCGCGCACACGCAUGCACACACACAGUUCAGUUCCAAAUGUGAAAAUGGUAAAUA